GAUCAUGGCUCAGGAUGAACGCUGGCGGCGUGCUUAACACAUGCAAGUCGAACGAAGCAAUUUCUGCUUGCAAGAAAUUGACUAGUGGCGGACGGGUGAGUAACGCGUGGGUAACCUGCCUCAUACAGGGGGAUAACAGUUGGAAACGACUGCUAAGACCGCAUAACCCGCUAGUGUCGCAUGACACGGACGGAAAAUAUUUAUAGGUAUGAGAUGGGCCCGCGUCUGAUUAGCUAGUUGGUAAGGUAACGGCUUACCAAGGCGACGAUCAGUAGCCGACUUGAGAGAGUGAUCGGCCACAUUGGGACUGAGACACGGCCCAAACUCCUACGGGAGGCAGCAGUGGGGAAUAUUGGACAAUGGGGGAAACCCUGAUCCAGCGAACCGCCGCGUGAGUGAAGAAGUAUUUCGGUAUGUAAAGCUCUAUCAGCAGGGAAGAUAAUGACAGUACCUGACUAAGAAGCCCCGGCUAACUACGUGCCAGCAGCGGC
rnacentral:rRNA from 1 species